rnacentral:rRNA from 1 species
CAGUCGCCGCGGGAAAACGAAGGGUGCAAGCGUUACUCGGAAUUACUGGGCGUAAAGCGUGCGUAGGUGGUGGUUUAAGUCCGUUGUGAAAGCCCUGGGCUCAACCUGGGAAUUGCAGUGGAUACUGGGUCACUAGAGUGUGGUAGAGGAUAGUGGAAUUUCCGGUGUAGCAGUGAAAUGCGUAGAGAUCGGAAGGAACAUCUGUGGCGAAGGCGACUAUCUGGGCCAACACUGACACUGAGGCACGAAAGCGUGGGGAGCAAACAGGAUUAGAUACCCCCGUAGUCCCUGUCUCUUAUAA